UAGGGAAUCUUCCGCAAUGGGCGAAAGCCUGACGGAGCAACGCCGCGUGAGUGAUGAAGGUCUUCGGAUCGUAAAACUCUGUUAUUAGGGAAGAACAAAUGUGUAAGUAACUAUGCACGUCUUGACGGUACCUAAUCAGAAAGCCACGGCUAACUACGUGCCAGCAGCCGCGGUAAUACGUAGGUGGCAAGCGUUAUCCGGAAUUAUUAGGCGUAAAGCGCGCGUAGGCGGUUUUUUAAGUCUGAUGUGAAAGCCCACGGCUCAACCGUGGAGGGUCAUUGGAAACUGGAAAACUUGAGUGCAGAAGAGGAAAGUGGAAUUCCAUGUGUAGCGGUGAAAUGCGCAGAGAUAUGGAGGAACACCAGUGGCGAAGGCGACUUUCUGGUCUGUAACUGACGCUGAUGUGCGAAAGCGUGGGGAUCAAACAGG
rnacentral:rRNA from 1 species